rnacentral:ncRNA from 1 species
UCUUAUUAAGAGCGGUGGAGUGAAUAGGCACUGUGAAACCCGGCAACCUUUUUUGGUGCUAAAUCCUACAGACGCGACAGGUCUGAAAGAUAAGA